rnacentral:rRNA from 1 species
AUUGAACGCUGGCGGCAUGCUUUACACAUGCAAGUCGAGCGGCAGCGCGGGGGCAACCCUGGCGGCGAGCGGCGGACGGGUGAGUAAUGCAUCGGAACGUAUCCCGUAGUGGGGGACAACCCAGCGAAAGCUGGGCUAAUACCGCAUAUGCUCUACGGAGGAAAGCAGGGGACUCGCGAGAGCCUUGUGCUAUGGGAGCGGCCGAUGUCCGAUUAGCUAGUUGGUGGGUAAAGGCUUACCAAGGCGACGAUCGGUAGCUGGUCUGAGAGGAUGAUCAGCCACACUGGGACUGAGACACGGCCCAGACUCCUACGGGAGGCAGCAGUGGGGAAUUUUGGACAAUGGGGGCAACCCUGAUCCAGCCAUGCCGCGUGCGGGAAGAAGGCCUUCGGGUUGUAAACCGCUUUGUCGGUAGAAAAGGUUACGUCCUAA